AACGAACGCUGGCGGCAUGCCUAACACAUGCAAGUCGAACGAGACCUUCGGGUCUAGUGGCGCACGGGUGCGUAACGCGUGGGAACCUGCCUUUAGGUUCGGAAUAACUCAGAGAAAUUUGAGCUAAUACCGGAUGAUGUCUUCGGACCAAAGAUUUAUCGCCUUUAGAUGGGCCCGCGUUGGAUUAGCUAGUUGUUGGGGUAAAGGCCUACCAAGGCGACGAUCCAUAGCUGGUCUGAGAGGAUGAUCAGCCACACUGGGACUGAGACACGGUCCAGACUACUACGGGAGGCAGCAGUGGGGAAUAUUGGACAAUGGGCGAAAGCCUGAUGCAGCAAUGCCGCGUGAGUGAUGAAGGCCUUAGGGUUGUAAAGCUCUUUUACACGAGAUGAUAAUGACAGUAUCGGGAGAAUAAGCUCCGGCUAACUCCGUG
rnacentral:rRNA from 1 species